AGGACGAACGCUGGCGGCGUGCUUAACACAUGCAAGUCGAGCGGAAAGGCCCUUCGGGGUACUCGAGCGGCGAACGGGUGAGUAACACGUGAGUAAUCUGCCCCUAGCUCUGGGAUAGCUCCGGGAAACCGGGAUUAAUACCAGAUACGACCACUUUAGACAUCUUCUGUGGUGGAAAGAACUUCGGCUAGGGAUGAACUCGCGGCCUAUCAGCUUGUUGGUGAGGUAACGGCUCACCAAGGCGACGACGGGUAGCCGGCCUGAGAGGGCGACCGGCCACACUGGGACUGAGACACGGCCCAGACUCCUACGGGAGGCAGCAGUGGGGAAUAUUGCGCAAUGGGCGAAAGCCUGACGCAGCGACGCCGCGUGGGGGAUGAAGGCCUUCGGGUUGUAACCCCUUUCAGCAGGACGAAGCGAAAGUGACGGUACCUGCAGAAGAGCGCCGGCUACUACGCGCCAGCAGCCGC
rnacentral:rRNA from 1 species